UCCAAAUACCCUAAUUCAAAAGGACGCCGAACCAUCCAAGCUCCCGAUAUCUGAUUGUCGCCAAAACCCUGGAGAGAACGAGACAGCGGAGACCUUCGCGAUUGUCGCCGGCACGUGGAGGGGAAGAACGGAGAUGGAGACCUUCGCAGGCACGUAGUGAGCACCCCCCGCAAAAACAAAUGGAAUGGGUGUUCCGUUGCUUCUGAGCUUUUGAAGAUUGAUUCAAAUCUGGAAGGGGUGUGGUAGCUUCCACAACUUGCCAUAUUGUGGAUGUGUAGAAGCAAUUCUAUGGGAUUUGCUAAGAUUUGUUCGCCUCCAAAAUGCAUGGAAGUAGCUUGCGCAAUCUUUUGAGGAUCUCAUGGGGAAGGCAGGCAACGGCAGGAUGUGAGGAUGGGGGGCUGUAGCUGCUGGUUGCAUUGCAUUCAGGAAUCUCAGGAGCCGGGUCAGGAGUGAGGAACGCUGGAGCGAAGCUAGAGAACUCCUAAAAGGACAAUGCUACACGUACAAAAUGGUAGACAAACGAGUAGACAACUCUACAUUCUCAUGAUAUAUUGAUACCAAUAUAUUGCAAGAAUUAAAAUUUUAAGAAAGCCCGCCCACUCUCAUUCUCUCCCUCCUCACUCUCCACAUCACUCUUACUCAAGCUCACCUCUCACCCACUCUCUCUCUCACCUCUCACUCUCUGCAUCACUCUUACUCAAACUCUCACCUCUCACUCUCUCUCUCUCUCUCUCUCACUCAAACUCUCACCCUUGACGGUCAUUACUGGAAUCGGCAUCCGUUUCACCCUUGACUGCCAUUACUGAAAACCCACUUCACCCUUGACCGCCAUUAUUGGAAUUGGAAACCCCUUUAUCGCCACAUCUCACCGUCUCUCUCUCACCUUACUCUCUGUAUCACUCUCCCAGAUCGGCUUGUACCUCGUACCUCUCGAAAAUCCACUUCUGCUAACCUCUCUAUUUCACCUCACCCUUGCAACGUGAAGAUCUCAUUUCCAGCCAACUCUUACCUCACCUCUCGAAAACCCCUUUGCCGCCAUACUCUCACUGCCUCUCUCUCUCACCUCACUCUGCUUUUUUUGGCUACAUCUCCCCUUGUCGGUGGCGACGAUCUCGGACUCACUUGGCCGAUCUCACAUUUUGCUCAUCUCUUACAGUGUUGAAGAAUUAAGCUGGGACAUAAGGAGGUUAAGAGACGGCCUUGGGGUGUAUCCGUGCUCUCCCGCCCUCUCGAUAAUAGCCCGUCUUCUUCCUUUUUGUGCGGGCCAGUUUUAUAAAAUUCAACCCUGCCCGGAAGUCCUUUUGAACGACAAAUUUGGGUAGCAAUUUAGUGAGCCGAUCUUUGGAAAAGCCUAAAUGAUGUGGCUGGGUUUGUGAAAUAUUCAAAUUUACAAAAUUUGUUUCUAUAUGGGUUCGUUGAUGUAUUGCUCUUAUCCUUUGGCCAACAGCAAAGUCGUAGUUUCAAGUCAAUAUUUGUGGGCUAGUAAAAAUAGAGUCCCACAGUAAUUUAGACCAUAUUUUUGGUCGUACAACAUUAUAGAGGUCCAUUAAACCGUAAUUUUGUUAGGA